AAUGGUCAGAGUCCAUUACAAGGUAAUCAACAAAAAAUAUAUAUAUAUAUAUCAUGGAAUCUUAAUGCCAUCAUUAAUAUAAAAAAUGCCAAACAGUGUAGAUGCAAAGUCACUUUUAAGUUUCUGAGAAAAAUAUUGAAUUAGCACAUAAGAUCUGGUGCCUAACACAUGCAUGGGUCCCAUCCCCAACACAAUUUCUUGUUUGUUUUGUGACUUUAUUUUUGAUAAUACAGUUUUAAAUUGUUGAUGUUAAAUAACUUACCUGAUCCCAACACUUAAGGGAGA
rnacentral:misc_RNA from 1 species